rnacentral:rRNA from 1 species
AACGAACGCUGGCGGCGUGGAUAAGACAUACAAGUCGAACGAUUAUCACCGGGUAGCAAUAUUCGGUGGUGAGAGUGGCGCAAGGGUGCGUAACACGUGGGUAAUUUGCCGUGAAGUCUGGAAUAACUUGCUGAAAGGCGAGCUAAUACCGGAUGUGAUUUUUGGAAGGCAUCUUCUGGAAACUCAAAGUCGGGGACCGCAAGGCCUGACGCUUCUCGAUAAGCCCGCGGCCUANCAGCUAGUUGGUGAGGUAACGGCUCACCAAGGCUAAGACGGGUAGCUGGUCUGAGAGGACGACCAGCCUCACUGGAAUUGAGACACGGUCCAGACACCUACGGGUGGCAGCAGUCGAGAAUUUUUC